GACGAACGCUGGCGGCGUGCCUAAUACAUGCAAGUAGAACGCACAGUUUAUACCGUAGCUUGCUACACCAUAGACUGUGAGUUGCGAACGGGUGAGUAACGCGUAGGUAACCUGCCUGGUAGCGGGGGAUAACUAUUGGAAACGAUAGCUAAUACCGCAUAAUAUUAAUUAUUGCAUGAUAAUUAAUUGAAAGGUGCAAUUGCACCACUACCAGAUGGACCUGCGUUGUAUUAGCUAGUAGGUGAGGUAACGGCUCACCUAGGCGACGAUACAUAGCCGGCCUGAGAGGGUGAUCGGCCACACUGGGACUGAGACACGGCCCAGACUCCUACGGGAGGCAGCAGUAGGGAAUCUUCGGCAAUGGACGAAAGUCUGACCGAGCAACGCCGCGUGAGUGAAGAAGGGUUUCGGAUCGUAAAGCUCUGUUGUAAGAGAAGAACGGGUGUGAGAGUGGAAAGUUCACACUGUGACGGUAUUUUACCAGAAAGGGACGGCUAACUACGUG
rnacentral:rRNA from 1 species